rnacentral:rRNA from 1 species
AACGAACGCUGGCGGCAUGCCUAACACAUGCAAGUCGAACGAGACCUUCGGGUCUAGUUGCGCACGGGUGCGUGACGCGUGGGAACCUGCCCGUAGGUUCGGAAUAACUCCCCGAAAGGGGUGCUAAUACCGGAUAAUGUCUUCGGACCAAAGAUUUAUCGCCUUUGGCUGGGGCCGCGUUGGAUUAGCUAGUUGGUAGGGUAAAAGCCUACCAAGGCGACGAUCCAUAGCUGGUCUGAGAGGAUGCUCAGCCACACUGGGACUGAGACACGGCCCAGACUCCUACGGGAGGCAGCAGUGGGGAAUAUUGGACAAUGGGCGAAAGCCUGAUCCAGCCAUGCCGCGUGAGUGAUGAAGGCCUUAGGGUUGUAAAGCUCUUUUACCCGGGAUGAUAAUGACAGUACCGGGAGAAUAAGCUCCGGCUAACUCCGUG